rnacentral:rRNA from 1 species
UGGGGAAUUUUGGACAAUGGGCGAAGCCUGAUCCAGCAAUGCCGCGUGUGUGAAGAAGGCCUUCGGGUUGUAAAGCACUUUUGUCCGGAAAGAAAUCCUUGGCUCUAAUACAGUCGGGGGAUGACGGUACCGGAAGAAUAAGCACCGGCUAACUACGUGCCAGCAGCCGCGGUAAUACGUAGGGUGCAAGCGUUAAUCGGAAUUACUGGGCGUAAAGCGUGCGCAGGCGGUUUGCUAAGACCGAUGUGAAAUCCCCGGGCUCAACCUGGGAACUGCAUUGGUGACUGGCAGGCUAGAGUAUGGCAGAGGGGGGUAGAAUUCCACGUGUAGCAGUGAAAUGCGUAGAGAUGUGGAGGAAUACCGAUGGCGAAGGCAGCCCCCUGGGCCAAUACUGACGCUCAUGCACGAAAGCGUGGGGAGCAAAACAGGAUUAGAUACCCUGGUAGUCCACGCCCUAAAACGAUGUCAACUAGUUGUUGGGGAUUCAUUUCCUUAGUAACGUAGCUAACGCGUGAAGUUGACCGCCUGGGGAGUACGGUCGCAAGAUUAAAACUCAAAUGAAUUGACGGGGUCAUAGCUGUUUCCU